rnacentral:rRNA from 1 species
GAAGGAUCCAAGCGUUGUCCGGAUUUACUGGGUUUAAAGGGUGCGUAGGCGGACUUUUAAGUCAGUGGUGAAAGCCUGUAGCUUAACUAUAGAAUUGCCAUUGAAACUGAAAGUCUCGAGUGUGGUUGAGGUAACUGGAAUAUAUCAUGUAGCGGUGAAAUGCUUAGAUAUGAUAUAGAACACCAAUUGCGAAGGCAGGUUACUGAGCCAUUACUGACGCUGAGGCACGAAAGCGUGGGGAUCAAACAGGAUUAGAUACCCUGGUAGUCCACGCCGUAAACGUUGCAUACUCGAUCUUAGCGAUACACAGUUAGGAUCCAAGCGAAAGCGUUAAGUAUGCCACCUGGGAAGUACGAUCGCAAGAUUG